rnacentral:rRNA from 1 species
UACGUAGGGGCCUAGCGUUGUCCGGAAUUAUUGGGCGUAAAGAGCUCGUAGGCGGUUCGGUAAGUCGGGUGUGAAAACUUUGGGCUCAACCCAAAGCCUACACUCGAUACUGCUGUGACUUGAGUCCGGUAGGGGAGUGGGGAAUUCCUGGUGUAGCGGUGGAAUGCGCAGAUAUCGGGAGGAACACCGGUGGCGAAGGCGGUUCUCUGGGCCUUACCUGACGCUGAGGAGCGAAAGCGUGGGGAGCGAACAGG